CGCCGGGCCUUUGCACUUGCUGACCCCACAGCCCGAGACUUUCCCCCAGUCUUCCCAGGAUCGGUCCUUUCUCGUCAUUCAGAACCGGCCUACACUGUCUACUCAGAGAGGCCUCUCUAUUGAGUGUCACAGCACUCGGAGCCCUCCUCCACAACCAGGCAAGGCUGAUCCUGUUUCUUGGUUUCUUUCUUUCUUUUUUUUUUUUUUUUUAAGAUUUUUUAAAGUGUUUAUUUUUGAGACAGAGAGAGAGAGAGAGAGAGGGACAGAAUGGGGGAGGGGCAGAGAGAGCGAGAAGGAGGCACAGAAUCCGAAGCAGGUUCCAGGCUCCGAGCUGUCAGCACAGAGCCUGACGCGGGGCUCGAACUCACGGACCGCGAGAUCGUGACCUGAGCUGAAGUUGGACGCUUAACCGACCGAGCCGCCCCUCUUGGUUUACCUCCUCUAUGGUGUUUGCCAUGGUUCAGAUGACCUUGUUUCAUGAUUGUUACUUUACUUCUCCUCUGUCUCCUCCGUGAGGAUGUAGGAUCCCCCAGAGCGAGGACCACGUCUGCUUUGCUGCUUCGUCCCUAGAGCGGAACCCGCCUCGGAUCACCCGGAUGAUACUGGGCUUUGUACGGUGUCUCGCACACAGUAGGCACUCAGCACAUGUAUGUGCUGCCUUACUGAACAGGAUUUCCCAGAGUCUCGAAGCCGCUCCUUUGGAAGAGUCACAUUUUCUGUGUCUGAAGACCACCGCGGGCAUCCUGUCUUACCUCCAAAGCCCUCCUGGAGGUGCACCUGCCUCACUCAGGGGCGGAAGAGACUUUUUCCAGCCGUCUUUUGCGACCCCAGACCUCACCGAGGACCCCUGAGGUUCCAGGAGGUGGCCCAGUCUCCCCAGGACUUGACUUCGACAUGCUGAGCCCUGUCACCACCAAAGUCACCUCUUGCAGAAUCAAAAAAGGGGGCUGUCCCCCAGGGCACCUUGGUGGCUCAGCCUGUGUAGCGUCUGACUCUUGGUUUUGCCUUGGGUCAUCAUCUUGUGGUUUCGUGGGUUCGAGCCCCAUAUCGGGCUCGGUGCUGGCAGCACGGAGCCUGUUUGGGACUCUCUUUCUCUGUCUCUCUGCCCCUCUCCCACUCACGCCAUCUCUGUCUCUCUCAAAAUAAAUAAAUAAACUUUAAAAAGGGGGGCUC
rnacentral:lncRNA from 1 species